rnacentral:tRNA from 1 species
CAGGUUAUAUUUAUAGUAAUAAUUAUUAUUUACAAUAAUAAUUUGGUUUGUGCAAUUCUGCCUAAUCUGA